UACGUAGGGUGCGAGCGUUAAUCGGAAUUACUGGGCGUAAAGCGUGCGCAGGCGGUGCUGUAAGACAGGCGUCAAAUCCCCGGGCUUAACCUGGGAAUGGCGCUUGUGACUGCAGUGCUGGAGUGCGGCAGAGGGGGAUGGAAUUCCGCGUGUAGCAGUGAAAUGCGUAGAUAUGCGGAGGAACACCAAUGGCGAAGGCAAUCCCCUGGGCCUGUACUGACGCUCAUGCACGAAAGCGUGGGGAGCAAACAGG
rnacentral:rRNA from 1 species